rnacentral:rRNA from 1 species
UACGUAGGGAGCAAGCGUUGUCCGGAUUUACUGGGUGUAAAGGGUGCGUAGGCGGCAAUGCAAGUCAGAUGUGAAAUCUAUGGGCUCAACCCAUAAACUGCAUUUGAAACUGCGUUGCUUGAGUGAAGUAGAGGCAGGCGGAAUUCCCCGUGUAGCGGUGAAAUGCGUAGAGAUUGGGAGGAACACCAGUGGCGAAGGCGGCCUGCUGGGCUUUAACUGACGCUGAGGCACGAAAGCGUGGGUAGCAAACA